CAAUAGCGUAUAUUUAAGUUGCUGCAGUUAAAAAGUUCGUAGUUGGACUUCGGGUGGGAAUGGCCGGUCCGCCGUUUCGGUGUGCACUUGCUACGCCCACCUUGCUGCCGGGGACGUGCUCUUGAGUUCACGCUCGGGACACGGAGUCGGCGAGGUUACUUUGAGUAAAUUAGAGUGUUCAAAGCAGGCCUACGCUCUGAAUACAUUAGCAUGGAAUAACACGAUAGGACUCUGGCCUAUCUUGUUGGUCUGUAGGACCGGAGUAAUGAUUAAGGGGGACAGUCGGGGGCAUUCGUAUUUCAUUGUCAGAGGUGAAAUUCUUGGAUUUAUGAAAGACGAACUACUGCGAAAGCAUUUGCCAAGGAUGUUUUCAUUAA
rnacentral:rRNA from 1 species